GGACAGAUGGGUGAGCGGCUGAAACCACACCCCUGCUAAGGGUGCAAGUCUUAAUCGGGCUUCGAGGGUUCAAAUCCCUCUCUGUCCG
rfam:Campylobacter fetus subsp. fetus 82-40, complete genome.